rnacentral:rRNA from 1 species
GGAUUAGUGGCGAACGGGUGAGUAACACGUGAGUAACCUGCCUUACACAAGGGGAUAGCCUUUGGAAACGAAGAAUAAUACCCUAUAAAGUCAAUUUAUCGCAUGAUAGAGUGACCAAAGAUUUAUCGGUGUAAGAUGGACUUGCGUCUGAUUAGCUAGUUGGUGAGAUAAAAGCCCACCAAGGCGACGAUCAGUAGCCGGCUUGAGAGAGUGUACGGCCACAUUGGGACUGAGACACGGCCCAAACUCCUACGGGAGGCAGCAGUGGGGAAUUUUGCACAAUGGGGGAAACCCUGAUGCAGCGACGCCGCGUGAUUUAGAAGGCCUUCGGGUUGUAAAAAUCUUUUUUAUGGGAUGAAAAUGACAGUACCAUAAGAAUAAGGUCCGGCUAAAUACGUGCCAGCAGCCGCGGUAAUACGUAUGGAUCGAGCGUUGUCCGGAAUCAUUGGGCGUAAAGGGUACGUAGGCGGCCUAGUAAGUUAGAAGUGAAAUAAUAUAGCUCAACUAUAUAAAGCUUUUAAAACUGUUAGGCUUGAGAGAUGAAAGGGAAAGUGGAAUUCCUAGUGUAGCGGUGAAAUGCGCAGAUAUUAGGAAGAAUACCGGUGGCGAAGGCG